GGAGUGGCGCACGGGUGAGUAACGCGUGGGAAUGUGCCCUUGGGUACGGAACAACACCGGGAAACUGGUGCUAAUACCGUAUAAUAUCUUCGGAUCAAAGAUUUAUCGCCCAGGGAUCAGCCCGCGUAGGAUUAGCUAGUUGGUGAGGUAAUGGCUCACCAAGGCUUCGAUCCUUAGCUGGUCUAAGAGGAUGAUCAGCCACACUGGAACUGAGACACGGUCCAGACUCCUACGGGAGGCAGCAGUAAGGAAUAUUGGACAAUGGGCGAAAGCCUGAUCCAGCCAUGCCGCGUGAAUGAAGAAGGCCUUAGGGUUGUAAAGUUCUUUUAGAGGUGAAGAUAAUGACGGUAGCCUCAGAAAAAGCUCCGGCUAACUCCGUGCCAGCAGCCGCG
rnacentral:rRNA from 1 species